rnacentral:rRNA from 1 species
GUCUACAGCCAUACUACUCCGAACGCAUCAUAUCUAUCUGAUCUGGGAAAUUAAGCUGGGUCAGGCCUGGUUAGUACUUGGGAUAGGAGAGAGUGGAAUGGUGGUUACCAGAGGAAGAGGGUGCAGACG